rnacentral:rRNA from 1 species
GCGAGCUACCCAGCGAUGGGAUGCGAAUCUCGAAAGCCUGUCUCAGUUCGGAUUGGAGGCUGAAACCCGCCUCCAUGAAGUUGGAUUCGCUAGUAAUCGCGCAUCAGCCAUGGCGCGGUGAAUACGUUCCCGGGCCUUGUACACACCGCCCGUCAAGCCAUGGAAGCUGGGGGUGCCUGAAGUUCGUGACCGGAAGGAGCGACCUAGGGCAAAACCGGUGACUGGGGCUAAGUCGUAACAAGGUAGC